UGGGGAAUUUUGGACAAUGGGCGCAAGCCUGAUCCAGCCAUGCCGCGUGAGUGAAGAAGGCCUUCGGGUUGUAAAGCUCUUUCGGUGAAGACGAAACGGUUAGUGCUAAUAACACUGACUAAUGACGGUACUCACAGAAGAAGCACCGGCUAACUACGUGCCAGCAGCCGCGGUAAUACGUAGGGUGCAGGCGUUAAUCGGAAUUACUGGGCGUAAAGCGUGCGCAGGCGGUUUGCUAAGACAGGUGUGAAAUCCCCGGGCUUAACCUGGGAAUUGCGCUUGUAACUGGCAAGCUAGAGUGUGGCAGAGGGGGGUGGAAUUCCACGUGUAGCAGUGAAAUGCGUAGAUAUGUGGAGGAACACCGAUGGCGAAGGCAGCCCCCUGGGUUAACACUGACGCUCAUGCACGAAAGCGUGGGGAGCAAACA
rnacentral:rRNA from 1 species